rnacentral:lncRNA from 1 species
UGCAAGUUCUUUUUAUUGCUAUACUCACUCAGUCGCAUUAUUCACAUUAAUAAUAACCUUACAAUAAUUUCUGAAUUUACACUAUAUAUUAUAUAUUGUCCCAUUUACAUCUAAUCUGGUUAAUAAUAUACAGAUAUUGUGUCAACACUUUUCUAACAAGAAUCUGACAACACUCUGUUUUGGUAGUUUUUGUAUUAGCCAAUGAAAUUUCAACCUUCAAAUUUUAUAGGUCUGAAUAAUGAGAACCAAACCAGAGGGUCCUGAAAGGACUAUUGUCAGAUUAAUGUAAGCCAAGUUAAGACGUAGAAUAUGUAUUUCAAUCAGGUUGAUAAACAUCUGUCCCAUACAUGUAU